CCUACGGGUGGCUGCAGUGGGGAAUAUUGGACAAUGGGGGGAACCCUGAUCCAGCCAUGCCGCGUGUGUGAAGAAGGCCCUCGGGUUGUAAAGCACUUUCAGUGAGGAAGAACGCCUGGUGGUUAAUACCCAUCAGGAAAGACAUCACUCACAGAAGAAGCACCGGCUAACUCCGUGCCAGCAGCCGCGGUAAUACGGAGGGUGCGAGCGUUAAUCGGAAUUACUGGGCGUAAAGCGCGCGUAGGUGGCUUGAUAGCCGGUUGUGAAAGCCCCGGGCUCAACCUGGGAACGGCAUCCGGAACUGUCAAGCUAGAGUGCAGGAGAGGAAGGUAGAAUUCCCGGUGUAGCGGUGAAAUGCGUAGAGAUCGGGAGGAAUACCAGUGGCGAAGGCGGCCUUCUGGACUGACACUGACACUGAGGUGCGAAAGCGUGGGUAGCAAACAGGAUUAGAUACCCCUGUAGUC
rnacentral:rRNA from 1 species